rnacentral:rRNA from 1 species
UACGUAGGGUGCAAGCGUUGUCCGGAAUUAUUGGGCGUAAAGAGCUCGUAGGCGGUUUGUCGCGUCGGCUGUGAAAACCUGGGGCUUAACUCCGGGCCUGCAGCCGAUACGGGCAGACUAGAGUUCGGCAGGGGAGACUGGAAUUCCUGGUGUAGCGGUGAAAUGCGCAGAUAUCAGGAGGAACACCGGUGGCGAAGGCGGGUCUCUGGGCCGAUACUGACGCUGAGGAGCGAAAGCGUGGGGAGCAAACAGG